rnacentral:ribozyme from 1 species
GCCUCUUCUUCCUUUACCAUGAGGCCAACGGUUGCCCCUGUGGUCCAGCAGCAGCGGGUCAGCACUGCACGG